UGUUCCCGAACGUGCGGCGAUCACGUGGUUGGUUUGGGCGGGACCCGGUCUGGCGGCGAACGCGCCCCAUACACGGCACCUUCCCGAAAGCUACCCGUGGGCUGGCCACGCACUGGCGGCGAUGCUGUGGAUGGUGAUGUUGGCCUCGGCCACGGAGAAGUACGAGGUGUGAGGCCCUUCGGCCACCUCCAUGAGGUCGACCAGCUGACCUGGGAGACGGAGGGCGGAGUCCUGAGGACGGGGUCCCCUCCCCCCGCUCACCCCCAGCCCUGGGUUCAUGACUCGAGGGACACAGACGAGAGGCGGACACGCAUGCCUGCGCAGGGGCAUCGCACACAAUGCACUUGGGCUUGAGCAAAGCGCGCCCCAGGGGGACAGGACCGCAGGGGAGAAACGCCUUCCUCGCUGCUGGAGGCCUGAGUGCCUCCGAAUCCCGUUAGCUACACGGGGAGCCUGUGUAAGGGGGAAAUGCAGCAUGGGGGACAGAACCUUGAAUGAAGGCAGCCCCGUCUCGGGGUGCUGGAGGAAGUGGUGUGACCCGGACUGCUAGAGGCUGGCCCAGGGUCCUCACCUAGGAAGGACCGCCUCCAGACAUCUCCGGGACACAGGAGGAAGGCGGCCAUCUGUGAGCCAGCAAGAGAGCCCUCACCAAGGGCCAAAUCCGCCAGUGUCUGGAUCUUGGACUUUCCAGCCUCUAGAUCUAUGAGGAAUAAAUGGCUGCUUGAGUCUCCCA